UGGCGAGCCAGAGCCCGUGGCGAACAACCCCUCCUCGCCUAUGGACCGCUGCUUCCUGUGAUGGUACACUCUUCUCGGGAUAUUAUAGCCAGGAGAAUCCGACAUCUCUGCUUGACAGUGCUUUUGCAGGGGUCUUAAGUUCGGUUCCUCAGCUUGCUGCCUUUCUCCAGCUGGGCGUCGACCCACUGCUCUAACCAAUAUCGCCGUCUACCAUAUGCUCUGUCGCGUUCAGUUUCUGCUGAUCUCUGGAAACAUAUGGACAGAUAACCAUGUUACUUAAAUGCAUGCAAAGACUUUGAAGGGGAAACAGAACUAUUCGAUCAAGAAUCGAACCCUAUGGCUCAAAUAGUAUUCUCUGAUCCUUUCCCUCUUUAUGGAAGCCUCUCUUUUAGUCAUGAAAUGAGCCUUCGCCUCCUCCUUUACACUUGAGGGUGUUUAUUGCCUGCUGCCGCACUGCCCAGCCGCGGAUCAGCGCUUGCAGCUUCACUACUCCUUUCAAUGCCCGCAGUGCCUUCCUCGCCUGAAUUAAUAAAGCCACGGAAAGCUGCUUGAAUUUUGAUGGCAGCCAAAUUCCAGAGAUGCUGGCUGUUGCUUCUAUUGCAUGCUCGAUGCCUAGCCUUGUGGGAAUCCUCAAUCCGCGAGGCUGUGGCUGCUGGUAUUGGAGAAGCAGCCACAGCAUCUUUAGUUGGUUCUGCUGUUUCCCAUUGCAGCCGGUCCUUAGCCGUGGACAGCUCCUUCAUCUUUAGUAGUCGGAAUGCCCAUCGCUGCUGCUGCUGCCGCUUGCGAUCCUUCUUCGGAACAUCGACACAAAAUUCAGAGACGAAGAGCCUCUUGAGAAAGGUGAACCACGUCUUCUUCUUGGCCAUAGCCAUAGCGAUGAGAGUAGAGAGAUCAGAGCAUGAUUGAGGGAGGAGAAGAGUGAGAAAUUGGAGGGGGUUCUUUAUGAGCGAGAGAGAAGAAUCAGUAGAUCAAUAAUAAUAAUAAUUCCAGCAGGUCCAUGAUGGAGUGGCGUGUGUUGGGCCCGGCCCCAUAAAAGAAAGAGGAGGAGGAGGUGGUGGAGGAUUCACACUCUCUCGCUCAUCAUUCUCUCUUUCUCUCUGUAUCUUUUACUCAUAAGCCAUAACCUGUGGAGUGGAGGGAAAUGCAAGCAAAGCAUGCAUGCAUAAUACAAGCAGCAUAAAAGAAUCUACAGGUUUUAUGGGACCGUAGCUAAUUUGUGAGGGAUAGAGAGAGAAAAGGCACCCCCACACAACACAUGGCGGUAGGAGCCCCCCACGAAGUGAAAUUUCAGUAACAUUACAUGAUCAAUACGAAAGUGAUACUAAAUUAAAGGGCUAUGUUGCACUUUCUCACUCUACUGCCUUUUCCAUGCAUCUAUCUACACACACACACACACAUAUAUAUAUAUAUAUAGAGAGAGAGAGAGAGAGUCUGACUGUGUGUAUAUGCCUUUCUUGCUAACUUUCAUUUACAGUCUUACUUUUUGAGAUUGCCCUUUUUAUUUAUUGAGAGUGGUAUACAUGUGGUGGUGUUUGGGAAUGGAUGAGUU